rnacentral:rRNA from 1 species
UACGUAGGUGGCAAGCGUUGUCCGGAAUUACUGGGCGUAAAGGGCGUGUAGGCGGCCUUUUAAGUCAGACGUGAAAACCCUGGGCUUAACCCAGGAACUGCGUUUGAAACUGGAGGGCUUGAGGACCGGAGAGGGUAGUGGAAUUCCCAGUGUAGCGGUGAAAUGCGUAGAUAUUGGGAGGAACACCAGUGGCGAAGGCGACUGCCUGGACGGCACCUGACGCUGAGGCGCGAAAGCUAGGGGAGCAAACGGGG